rnacentral:lncRNA from 1 species
AGGUGGAGGAAGACAUAAGAGGAGCUUGGAGCAGGAGCCGGCCUCUGCCUUCCCGGUGGCAGCCCCAGAAGAAACACAGAGGACCACAUCCCCAAGGGAGACGCCUCGUGGAUUUCUGCUAGAAGGCUGGCAAUGGGUCCCAAUCUGAGUUUUAAAAAAUUUUAGGGGACAAGCAAAGGCCCUUAGAUGAUGACCCCCUUGGUUGUUCAGCCAACGGGCAGGAGACCCAGCAGAUGUUUUGGAGCCUUUGCCAAAAAAUCAGCAGGAGUCAUCCUUGGCCGUGGACUGAAGGGCGGGAGGUGGGGGCAGGGCAGCCAAAAGCCCUGGAGGCUAGAGUUUCUCCUGACUAUUCUACCACCAGAACAGGAAUGGAAAAAGCUACGAAGGGCUGCAGAGGGUCCAGAAGAAACCCUGGGGGGAAAGCCGAAUUUCUGUGUGCAGAGCGUUCAGGAAGUUCAGAAUGGAGCUGCAUGCGCAACUGGAUGGGGCCCUUGGUUUGGACCCCACGAGUGGCUCCUCCAUGGAUCUUUCAGGACCAAAGGGCCCUGGAGGACAGCAGGGUCUCCGUUCAGUCUGCCCACACUCUCCGCUCCUUCUGGGAUCUCACUGGGGAGUCGCCUCUGCCUCCUCUAGGGGUCUGGCAUCUGCUGUCACAAACCGGCCGGUCUUGGAUGCUGCAGUGGGGACAGAAAGAAGACCGAUUUUGUCCUCAGCACGCUCAGAGACAGGUGUGGGCAGGUGACACCCGCCUAUGCACGAGGAGACACGUGCAAGAAUGUGAGAAUGGUAACAAAGCUAAAAAUAAAGCCAAAGAAAACCAGCUUGAAAUGUCCCUGCGAAGUGUGGUUGUGCUUAAAGAUUUU